AUCUCAGAUUAGGUAAGACUACCCGCUGAAUUUAAGCAUAUAAUUAAGCGGAGGAAAAGAAACUAACAAGGAUUCCCCCAGUAAGGGCGACUGAAAAGGGAAGAGCUCACCGUGUGAAUCUGCGCAUACCGCGCAAGCGGGCGCGCCGAAUUGUGGUCUGGAGAGACAUUGUCGACCGUGGUUCCGGGCCAAGUCCCUUGGAAAAGGGCAGCUGAGAGGGUGAAACUCCCGUUCUUGCCUGGGAUUUGCGUGUCAUGGCACGUGUUCUCAAAGAGUCGAGUUGCUUGGGAUUGCAGCUCAAAGUGGGUGGUAAAUUCCAUCUAAAGCUAAAUAUUGGUGGGAGACCGAUAGCGCACAAGUACCGUGAGGGAAAGAUGCAAAGAACUUUGAAAAGAGAGUUAAAGAGUACCUGAAAUUGCUGAAAGGGAAGCAAAGGAAACCAGUGCGUUGUGCGUGUCAUAUUUCUCCUGCUGCUUGCGGUGGGGGCGCUGUGGCCGUGCGUAGCGUCAGCAUCGGUUCGUACUUCGGAGCAAACGGUGUGGCUGGAGGUUAUUCCAUUACGGGAUGAAUGACAGCCGCUCUAAGUUCUGGAGGGGACCGAGGUUAGUCACAUGCUCGUGAUGCUGGCUAAAUGGUUUUCUUUACCCCGUCUUGAAACACGGACCAAGGAGUCUAACAUAUGUGCGAG
rnacentral:rRNA from 14 species